rnacentral:rRNA from 1 species
UACGGAGGGAGCUAGCGUUGUUCGGAAUUACUGGGCGUAAAGUGCACGUAGGCGGCUUUGCAAGUCAGAGGUGAAAGCCUGGAGCUCAACUCCAGAACUGCCUUCGAUACUGGGAGUCUCGAGUCCGGGAGAGGUGAGUGGAACUGCGAGUGUAGAGGUGAAAUUCGUAGAUAUUCGCAAGAACACCAGUGGCGAAGGCGGCUCACUGGCCCGGUACUGACGCUGAGGUGCGAAAGCGUGGGGAGCAAACAGG